rnacentral:misc_RNA from 1 species
UACGUAGGUUGCAAGCGUUACUCGGAUUUACUAGGCGUAAAGAGCAUGUAGGUGGUUAUACAAGUCUGUAGUGUAAUUUCUCGGCUCAACGGCGACCUGUCUAUAGAAACUGUAUGACUUGAGUGUGGCAGGGGGAGAUGGAAUUCCAGGUGUAGCGGUGAAAUGCGUAGAUAUCUGGAGGAACACCAAUGGCGAAAGCAGUCUCCUGGGCCAAUACUGACACUGAGGUGCGAAAGCUAGGGGAGCAAACAGG